GACGAACGCUGGCGGCGUGCUUAACACAUGCAAGUCGAACGGAAAGGCCUGCUUUCCCUUGUGGAUUGCGGGUACUCGAGUGGCGAACGGGUGAGUAACACGUGAGUGAUCUGCCCCCAACUUGGGUAUAAGCCUGAGAAACUGGGUCUAAUUCCCGAUAGGACUGCAGGGUGGUGCCUGUGGUGGAAAACGAUUUUCUAGUGGUUGGGGAUGAGCUCGCGGCCUAUCAGCUUGUUGGUGGGGUAAUGGCCUACCAAGGCGGCGACGGGUAGCCGGCCUGAGAGGGUGGACGGCCACAUUGGGACUGGGAUACGGCCCAGACUCCUACGGGAGGCAGCAGUGGGGAAUAUUGCACAAUGGGCGGAAGCCGGAUGCAGCGACGCCGCGUGGGGAUGACGGCCUUCGGGUUGUAAACUCCUUUCGACCGCGAGGAAGCCACCUGGUUGGAAGGGUGGUGACGGUAGUGGUAGAAGAAGCACCGGCUAACUACGUG
rnacentral:rRNA from 1 species